rnacentral:rRNA from 1 species
AUGAACGCUGGCGGCGUGCCUAAUACCUGCAAGUCGAGCGAACAGAUGAGGAGCUUGCUCCUCUGACGUUAGCGGCGGACGGGUGAGUAACACGUGGAUAACCUACCUAUAAGACUGGGAUAACUUCGGGAAACCGGAGCUAAUACCGGAUAAUAUAUUGAACCGCAUGGUUCAAUAGUGAAAGACGGUUUUGCUGUCACUUAUAGAUGGAUCCGCGCCGCAUUAGCUAGUUGGUAAGGUAACGGCUUACCAAGGCAGCGAUGCGUAGCCGACCUGAGAGGGUGAUCGGCCACACUGGAACUGAGACACGGUCCAGACUCCUACGGGAGGCAGCAGUAGGGAAUCUUCCGCAAUGGGCGAAAGCCUGACGGAGCAACGCCGCGUGAGUGAUGAAGGUCUUCGGAUCGUAAAACUCUGUUAUUAGGGAAGAACAAAUGUGUAAGUAACUAUGCACGUCUUGACGGUACCUAAUCAGAAAGCCACGGCUAACUACGUG